rnacentral:rRNA from 1 species
AGGGAUCAAAUUAUACAUAUUAUGGUAAAAAGGCAGUUAGAUAUUCAAUUUUAUUAACUAGCUUAUUGAUUUUUUAUAUAAGGGUAAAAUCUAUAUAUAAAUAAAUAAUCUAGCAUAAGCUAAUUUAUAUUGACUCUGCGAUAAUCUUGAGGGAAACUGGGAUUAGAUACCCCACUAUUCUUGAUUGUAAAUUAACGUAAGUUUACCUGAGUACUAUGAAUCACAAAAUAAAAUUUAAAACUCAAAGGGCUUGGCGGUGUUUUAGACCCCUCAGGGGAACCUGUCUCGUAAUCGACAAUCCACGUUAAACCUAACCUUUUUUUGCAUUUCAGUUUGUAUACCGUCGUCGUCAGGUAACUUUUAAAAAAUUAGAAGUUGGCAAUAAAAUAAAUAAUAAAUUUAAACGUCAGAUCAAGGUGCAGCCUAUAUAAAGGUGAGGAUGGGUUACAAUUACAAUUUAUAAUUACGGAUGAAAUAAUGAAACAUUUAUUUCUAUGAAGGAGGACUUGAAAGUAAAAUAAAUUUAUAUAAGUAAUUUGAAUAAGGCUCUGAGACAUGC